AUUCAGCAGUAGCAUGUGCUGUUUCCUCUGUCAGGUACUGAGUGACUCUGAGUAAUUUAAUUCUCAGAGGCACUUGGUUUCUGGCCGAGUGAACAGUAUGAACAGCGUAGUUAGCA
rnacentral:precursor_RNA from 12 species